AGCCAAAAGAGAGACCAUUGAAUAAACAAUCCUCAUCUGUCUCCCACUCCAUCCUCAUCUGUUUCCCACGCCAUCCUCAUCCUCAUCUGUCUCCCCUUUUGUGCAUUAUUUUUAUCUUUUGUUCAUCCUCAUCUGUCUCCCAUCCCACGCAUGCCUUCUUUUAUCUUUUGUUCUUUUUUCUGCCCAACGGCUUCUUUUAAAACUCAAGAUUUCUCAAAUAAUUCUCUCCCAAACACCUCUCAUCUCAGCUAUCAAAUCCGUCCGUCAGCCCUGUUCACAGAUCCAAAGCAUCAACUUCCUAAGCUCAAAUCGAAAUUCUCCCUCUAUCAAACUUGUUCCUCUUCAUCUCUACUAUAACAUGUCAAAAAAUUAGCCCAAUCGAAGAAAUUUAGACACCUGAAAUGCAGUUUCAGUAUGUGCAAUAUAGAUCAAUUGAAAUGAAGGCUCUGCAAGAUUGAAGAGGUUUAAAACAACUUAAGCAUAAACCAGGUUGUAUUAUUAUUUUUUAUUGCUUAAAUUUAGUUUUUUUUCAUUUGCUGGUUGGUUGGUUUGGUUGUGUUUCGUUGCUUUGCUGGUUGUGUUUGGUGUGGUGUGUGUUUAUUUUGUUCAUUUGUUGUCUGUCACUUUAUAGAUUUAAGAGUUGCAGUAACAAAAAUGGUUAGGAAACAUGAAUCUGGAAGUCAAAAAAGAAAUAAAAUUAGAAAAAUAGAAAAAAUGAUUCAAACUCAAAAAGGAGCUCUUGAUAAGUUUUUUAAAACUAGUUCUUCAAUUGAAGAUCCAUCUGAUGAAUUAGUUAAUGAAUCACAACAACCAAUUAGUCAAGAAGAAAUGAGAGAGAAUGAUACAAUCUGCAGAAAGAAGUUUUUCAAAAUUAAAAUUAAUAAAAUCUUAUUUGCGUUCAACUAUGUCACAAGAAAGGUUAAAUGGAUUGGCAAUCUUAUGUAUUGAAAAGAAUAUGUUGGAAAAUAUUGAUUUUGAAGAGGUUAUUGAUGAUUUUGCUUCUCAAAAUGCUAGAAGAUCAAGAAUUUUUCAAUGAUUGUUUGUAUUUUUAAUGUUACUGCUUUUGAUUUUUGAUUUGUAGAUGAUGAAGUGGAAGUCAAAGGAGCUUUUUGUGUACAAUUGAGCCACUUGAGAACUAAGCCCUAUGGAAGAACCACUUAAAGAACUUUUGUU